GAUGAACGCUAGCGAUAGGCUUAACACAUGCAAGUCGAGGGGCAGCAUGAUUUGUAGCAAUACAGAUUGAUGGCGACCGGCGCACGGGUGAGUAACGCGUAUGCAACUUACCUAUCAGAGGGGGAUAGCCCGGCGAAAGUCGGAUUAAUACCCCAUAAAACAGGGGUCCCGCAUGGGAAUAUUUGUUAAAGAUUCAUCGCUGAUAGAUAGGCAUGCGUUCCAUUAGGCAGUUGGCGGGGUAACGGCCCACCAAACCGACGAUGGAUAGGGGUUCUGAGAGGAAGGUCCCCCACAUUGGUACUGAGACACGGACCAAACUCCUACGGGAGGCAGCAGUGAGGAAUAUUGGUCAAUGGCCGAGAGGCUGAACCAGCCAAGUCGCGUGAAGGAAGAAGGAUCUAUGGUUUGUAAACUUCUUUUAUAGGGGAAUAAAGUGGAGGACGUGUCCUUUUUUGUAUGUACCCUAUGAAUAAGCAUCGGCUAACUCCGUGCCAGCAGCCGCGGUAAUACGGAGGAUGCGAGCGUUAUCCGGAUUCAUUGGGUUUAAAGGGUGCGUAGGUGGUGAUUUAAGUCAGCGGUGAAAGUUUGUGGCUCAACCAUAAAAUUGCCGUUGAAACUGGGUUACUUGAGUGUGUUUGAGGUAGGCGGAAUGCGUGGUGUAGCGGUGAAAUGCAUAGAUAUCACGCAGAACUCCGAUUGCGAAGGCAGCUUACUAAACCAUAACUGACACUGAAGCACGAAAGCGUGGGGAUCAAACAGGAUUAGAUACCCUGGUAGUCCACGCAGUAAACGAUGAUUACUAGGAGUUUGCGAUACAAUGUAAGCUCUACAGCGAAAGCGUUAAGUAAUCCACCUGGGGAGUACGCCGGCAACGGUGAAACUCAAAGGAAUUGACGGAAGGGCGU
rnacentral:rRNA from 1 species